AGAGCGACGUCCGCGUCUCUCUGCGACGUGCGCUUCCAUUGGUGGGCGCAGGAGCCGCCGGCGACUCGUGACCGUCUCCAUGGCGCCGGCGCGUGGGGAAGCGGAGGCGGGCGCCUCGCGGCCCACUCGGCCACCGAGGCUAACCCUUAGUCCCUAAUGUCCUUAUGACCAUGGUCACGGGCUGCCUCUGAGCCCCACUGGAACUGAAAGGGAUGACCUGUGAUCUGCAACCACCAGUAAGAACAAACUACAGAGUACAGUUGUGCGCUAACUUCAACAGCAUGUCUGUUUUGCUGCAGCACAUGGACAUUUAUGAGAAGUUAAGUCCAGAGUUGAUUUGCAAAGUCCCAUUUUGAUAACUCUGCCUCCCUUGCCACAGAAGUGGCCGUGGAACUUGCACCUGAUUAAUUUGAGCAACAGUGAUUAGUGAAUUGACAAGUGAUAUAAGCGGAGAUGGAAUCCCUUUCUGGCUUUGAUACUAUCUAAAAGAAAGGUUUGGGUACAACAAGGCUAAGAGAUUUGCCCCUGGAUGUUCCUGUCCCCGGAAUCCAGAUUUUCAUCACAGUUCAUUAUAGGAGAAGUGCAAAUGAACAUGGCUGUAGGUGUUCAGCUCCAAGAAUAAAAAGUUAGACAUUAAAAUUCUGUUUGGGAACAAGAAAUAUGUGACUCAUUAUUCUUUAUCAUAUACUUAUUUAUAUAUUCAUUUCUUCCAUGAGAUGCCCUACCGUGACAUUAAAAGUAGUAAUUUAUCCCAAAGCACCUGGGUUAGGCACCCGACUCUUGAUUUUGGCUCAGGUCAUGAUCUCCCAGUUCCUAAGUUCAAGACCCUAGUCGGGCUCCACACUGACAGUCUGCUUGGGAUUCACUCUCUUUCCCUCUCUCUCUGCCCCUCCCUCUACAAAAUAAAUAAACUUUAAAAAAAAGUAGUAAUUUCUCCCAAAUUAAACAAUAAUCAUGAGUAACUCCCAAAUAGACAGUCCUUCCGACCAAGGAGACUGAAAGAGAGACAGCAAGUGGGAGAAAGCCAUCCAAAUGUUGCACCAGUUCAAGCUGAAGGACACAGGAGGACGAAGAUUUAACCCAUUAUGUCUAAUUUGUAAAAUUCCACAGUCCAUUUCAGGUUUAAAACUCUAUCUCUUCUUUUUCCAAAAGUUCUACUUCUACCCUCCACCCCAAGCAUUAAAACCAUCUUUUAUACCCCCCUCCAAAUUUGAAAGUAGCUGAGAACUUAAAAAGAAUAAACCCAAUAGGCACAGAGGGAAAAUAUGGGUCUCAGAGUUGGUUUGAGAUAGGUAAAGAAUAUUUAAAAUAUUUGUGUAAACUGCUUAACAAAAGUAGAGAAUUCCUUUCUUCUUAAAACAAUGUAGCACAUAAUUUUGUCUAACAGACAACUGAUUGUUCUCUGAUGGUAAAAUAAUUAUGAAAAUACCAGGAAUUGACAAAUGAGUUAGAUUGCUUGCUAUAAUCAAUAUAGCUACAGUUUGAAAAUAAGAUGUGGGGUGAGGGGGAAGCAGGGCAGGAAAUUUAGAAUUUUUGUAGGACAUCAUGGUUUUUUCAGUCAGUGACUCUUGAUAAAGGCCAAUUUUGAAUUAGUUUAAAAAUCAGAGACCAAUAGAUAGCAUUAUAGGAUGCAAUCUUGGAAAACUUCACAGUAAAUAUUUUAUUAACUCUCUAGAUAAAGACGACUUUCAGGAAGGAUACUGGUGAUGGAACACUUUCUAUCGAGUAAUAGUUAUACUGUACACAACCAUGGGUUUAUGUCUUUCUUGUCUACUAAAUUGAGCUCCUUGAAGGAAAAAAUGCUGUCUUCAUAUCCACCACUCCUAUACAAAAUGUGACUCAAAUGUUCAUGUAAUUGUUUAAUUUACUUACUUUUAUCUUGUAUGAUUAUGGAGCAUACACUCAAAUGAGAGUUUAUAUUAGAAUCACUUUUGAAGCUUUUCAUAAAACAGAUGCUCAGGAACCAUACACAGGCCUACAUAUGUUGAAAAAGCUCAGCAAGUUGGUACACUAAUCCAUAACAUGAUGAGUAUAUAGAGAACCACCAAAGUCAGGAACAAGGCAAAGAUGCCCGUUAGCUCCACUACUGUUCGUUCAUCUUGGAGCAGAGGUAUUAGUGAAUUCAAUCGUAUAAGAGAGAAUAAGCAGAAGUAUAAGAAUUGAAAAAGAAAGAGUAAAACUAUAUCCAAUGACAUAUGAUAUAUCCGUAUACCUAAAACACAGAAGAGAAUCAAUUCUAAUACCAAUAAGAAAAAACACUUAAUAAGGUAGGAGAUAUUAAACUAACUAUAAAAAUCAAUAACUUUCACAGACAAAUAAUCACUUAAAAUCUAUAAUUGAAGUAAAAAUAUAGUAACAAUGAAAAGAGAAAUGCUUAAGAAUAAUCUUAACAAAAAAGGUGACAAACCUAUAUAAGAAAAAAUUUAACUACUCUUGAACCCAGAAAGUAGACCUAAAGAAAUGGAAAGGCAUCCCUUGUUUUGAGAUAAAACAACUCAACAUUAUAAAGAUGUAAAUUCUCUCCAAGUUAAUAUGUAAAUUUAUUGUGAUCU